CUCCCCCUGGGUCACGUGGCUCCAGCCACACCCACCUCCCUGCUGUUCCUCACCCAGGAUCACCAAGGUCUCUCCUACCCCGGGGCCUGUGCACCUGCUGUGCCUCUGCUUGGGGUGCUCUUCCCAGGGCUUGCCCACCUCCUCAGAGAGGCCUCCUGACCCCUGACACGGCCUUGCCCUUCACCUCUAUCGUCCUUUAGAACAGCCCCCACCUCCCGCACAUCAUGCAGUUGCAGGUUCAAUGGCUACUGCUUGUCCUCCAGACUCGAUAGGCCUCAUCACUCCUCAGAUGAUUCUCGAAGGAUAACACACAGGCCAGUGGGCAGCCCUAGGCCAGGGGGAUUACCAAGACAUGAAGACUUUCUUUCUGUCUCAGCAACCUUCAUGCUUGGUCAAGCAAAGGUGUUGCUUAAGUCAAACCCAGGGCAGGGGAGAGCAGUUGAAGCAAAGUGAGUCUUUGGAGGCCCUGUGGUUGUGGGGUCUGGUGUGGAGACAGUGAGAACGGAAAAGGUGGGAGAGGAGCAGUCAACCCGUGAAUGGCCCCAUUCAGACGCCUUUACCUGGAAGACGUGGCAGGUCUACUGGGGUUCAUCCCAUCUGAGCCAGGCCUGGCUUUUCUUGGCUGCAAGCUGAGAGCUGGGUCCAGGUCUGCUGAACCAAGGUUCUCCCAUCUUCCUUGAGCCAGUGACAAUCAGAGGCCUAUUUCUUUCAUGACGGAAGGCAGGAGAACAAGCAGGCAAGACCAGCUGUGCUAGCACAUGGCACCCCUUUCCCACAUCACACCUGCUAACAUCCCAUUGUUCAAAGCAAGUAACACAACCAAACCCAAUAUCAACAGGACAAGAAAACAGACUCCACCUCUAGGUGCACAAACUACAGAGUCACGGACAGAGAACACAGAUCUAGGGAAGGAAGCUGGAGAAUGAGAACAAUGACCCUCAAUAACACAACCUCCCACAGGUUUCCAAAUCCCCAACCUGAGCAUAUUUCCAAGGAAACGGAAUCAUGGGUUCAGGGUUUUAGAGCAAGCAAUUUCUGCUCUCCCAGCUUAGUUUCCAUACCCUUAACACAGGGGCAAUGACGUCGCAUCGAAUCAUAUCUUAUAAGUCUGUGAUGAUGUUUCAACAACUGAACGCCAGAAAAGUGCUUAGAGCAAGGCCAGGUAGGAGGGACAGAAGCCAAUAAUAAUGAGUAGCAUCACUGUUAACCCGCAAAAUUCUGGGAAUUUCCUCGAAAGUCUAAUUAGAGAAUCAUGUCCCCAACAAUUAACAGUUAUUUUGUUUUUUUUUUCUUUGAAUCUGAGAAAAUACUAAUUGUCACAGGGUAGAA
ensembl:lncRNA LINC00494 long intergenic non-protein coding RNA 494